UCCUCGAUAGUAUAGCGGUAAGUAUUUUCGCCUGUCACGCGAGAGACCCGGGUUCGACACCCGGUCGAGGAG